rnacentral:rRNA from 1 species
GCCAGCAGCCAUAUCACCCUCCCAACUGGCAACCACUGAAGCCCAGCAGGUGUGAGCCUGCUCAGUACCCGGAUGGGAGACCUCCUGGGAAAAACUAAGGCUGCUGCUGAAA